GACGAACGCUGGCGGCGUGCUUAAUACAUGCAAGUCAACUGAACUUAAGAUAGCAAUAUUUUAAGGGAGGUGGCGCACGGGUGAGUAACACGUAGGUAAUCUGCCUUUAGGUCUGACACAACCCCGAGAAAUCGGGGCUAAUAUCAGAUGAUGCAGCGGCUCGACAUCGAGACAGUUGUUAAACCUUCGGGGCCUAAAGAUGAGCCUGCGUCUGAUUAGGUAGUUGGCGGAGUAAAAGCCCACCAAGCCUGCGAUCAGUAGCUGGUCUGAGAGGAUGAUCAGCCACACUGGAACUGAGACACGGUCCAGACUCCUACGGGAGGCAGCAGUAAGGAAUAUUGCUCAAUGGCCGAAAGGCUGAAGCAGCAACGCCGCGUGGAGGAUGAAAUACUUUUGUAUGUAAACUCCUGUAAGAAGGGAAAAAUAUUCCGAUUUAUCGGGAUUGAUUGUACCUUCAGAGUAAGCCCCGGCUAACUACGUG
rnacentral:rRNA from 2 species